rnacentral:rRNA from 1 species
UACGUAGGGCGCAAGCGUUGUCCGGAAUUAUUGGGCGUAAAGAGCUCGUAGGCGGUCCGUCACGUCGGGUGUGAAAUUCCAGGGCUCAACCCUGGACCUGCAUUCGAUACGGGCGGACUAGAGUUCGGUAGGGGAGACUGGAAUUCCCGGUGUAGCGGUGAAAUGCGUAGAGAUCGGGAGGAACACCAGCGGCGAAGGCGGCGACCUGGACAAGUACUGACACUCAACUACGAAAGCGUGGGGAGCAAACAGG